AGGAGCUGAACUUGGAGUAUCGGUCGAUACCUUAAGGAGGUGGUGCAAGCUCUGGAGAGUGAUCCCUCCUUCAGGAAGAAAUUAGAGACCGCCGAAGUGGAUGACAUUAAGUCUGGUAAGAUUGCCAGGGAACUCCACUUUGUCGACCACAAUGUGCGCACAAAGCUUGACGAGUUGAAGCGGAGAGAGCUGGAGCGUCUUCGUCACCUGGCCAUCAAGAUGAAAUCCAGGGUGAGAUGAUU